rnacentral:ncRNA from 2 species
UUUUACUGCUAGGGGUCCCCGCCACUAAAGUUCGACAGACCGGUGUCCAAGACGAGCGCCCGAGUUUCAACCCGGCUGCUUGGCCCCCGAUAAUCUGGUCCGACUUUAGUGGCGGGGUGAGAAACACCCUUUGAACCUGAUCCGGUUCAUUCCGGCGUAGGGAAGCGAUGAGCCAGCCUC